CAGGCGAAACCCGAAAAGCCAAACGAGUAGGAA
rnacentral:ncRNA from 1 species